rnacentral:rRNA from 1 species
GACGAACGCUGGCGGCGCGCCUAACACAUGCAAGUCGAACGAGCGAGAGAGAGCUUGCUUUCUCAAGCGAGUGGCGAACGGGUGAGUAACGCGUGAGGAACCUGCCUCAAAGAGGGGGACAACAGUUGGAAACGACUGCUAAUACCGCAUAAGCCCACGACCCGGCAUCGGGUAGAGGGAAAAGGAGCAAUCCGCUUUGAGAUGGCCUCGCGUCCGAUUAGCUAGUUGGUGAGGUAACGGCCCACCAAGGCGACGAUCGGUAGCCGGACUGAGAGGUUGAACGGCCACAUUGGGACUGAGACACGGCCCAGACUCCUACGGGAGGGAGCAGUGGGGAAUAUUGCACAAUGGGGGAAACCCUGAUGCAGCGACGCCGCGUGGAGGAAGAAGGUCUUCGGAUUGUAAACUCCUGUUGUUGAGGAAGAUAAUGACGGUACUCAACAAGGAAGUGACGGCUAACUACGUG